rnacentral:rRNA from 1 species
GACGAACGCUGGCGGCGUGCUUAACACAUGCAAGUCGAACGGAAAGGCCCUGCUUUUGUGGGGUGCUCGAGUGGCGAACGGGUGAGUAACACGUGAGUAACCUGCCCUUGACUUUGGGAUAACUUCAGGAAACUGGGGCUAAUACCGGAUAGGAGCUCCUGCUGCAUGGUGGGGGUUGGAAAGUUUCGGCGGUUGGGGAUGGACUCGCGGCUUAUCAGCUUGUUGGUGGGGUAGUGGCUUACCAAGGCUUUGACGGGUAGCCGGCCUGAGAGGGUGACCGGCCACAUUGGGAAUGAGAUACGGCCCAGAGUCCUACGGGAGGCAGCAGUGGGGAAUAUUGCACAAUGGGCGGAAGCCUGAUGAAGCAACGCCGCGUGCGGGAUGACGGCCUUCGGGUUGUAAACCGCUUUCGCCUGUGACGAAGCGUGAGUGACGGUAAUGGGUAAAGAAGCACCGGCUAACUACGUG